UACGUAGGGGGCUAGCGUUGUCCGGAUUUAUUGGGCGUAAAGAGCGUGUAGGCGGCCAGGUAGGUCCGUUGUGAAAACUCGAGGCUCAACCUCGAGACGUCGAUGGAAACCAUCUGGCUAGAGUCCGGAAGAGGAGAGUGGAAUUCCUGGUGUAGCGGUGAAAUGCGCAGAUAUCAGGAAGAACACCUAUGGCGAAGGCAGCUCUCUGGGACGGUACUGACGCUGAGACGCGAAAGCGUGAGGAGCGAACAGG
rnacentral:rRNA from 1 species